UACAGAGGAUGCAAGCGUUAUCCGGAAUGAUUGGGCGUAAAGCGUCUGUAGGUGGCUUUUUAAGUCCGCCGUCAAAUCCCAGGGCUCAACUCUGGACAGGCGGUGGAAACUACCAAGCUGGAGUACGGUAGGGGCAGAGGGAAUUUCCGGUGGAGCGGUGAAAUGCGUAGAGAUCGGAAAGAACACCAACGGCGAAAGCACUCUGGGACGUGACUGACGCUGAGACGCGAAAGCGUGGGGAGCAAACAGG
rnacentral:rRNA from 1 species